rnacentral:misc_RNA from 1 species
GAUGAAGAACGUAGCGAAAUGCGAUACUUGGUGUGAAUUGCAGAAUCCCGUGAACCAUCGAGUCUUUGAACGCAAGUUGCGCCCGAAGCCAUUAGGCCGAGGGCACGCCUGCCUGGGCGUCACACGUCGUUGCCCCCCCAUCUACUCCUUCGGGAUUGCGGGGGGCGGAUGAUGGCCUCCCGUGCGCCUCGCCGCGCGGUUGGCAUAAAUGCCAAGUCCUCGGCGACGCACGCCACGACAAUCGGUGGUUGCGAAACCUCGGUUGCCCGUCGUGUGCGGUCGUCGCGCAUCGAGGGCUCGAAAAAAUUGCCGGGUUCCGGCUCGGCUUUCAACGCGACCCCAGGUCAGGCGGGAUUACCCGCUGAAUUUAAGCAUAUCAAUAAGCGGAGGA